rnacentral:rRNA from 1 species
GACGAACGCUGGCGGCAUGCCUAAUACAUGCAAGUCGAGCGAACAGAUGAAGUGCUUGCACUUCUGACGUUAGCGGCGAACGGGUGAGUAACACGUAAGGAAUCUACCUAUAAGCGGGGGAUAACAUUCGGAAACGGGUGCUAAUACCGCAUAAUAUCUUCUUCCGCAUGGAAGAAGAUUGAAAGACGGCUCUGCUGUCACUUAUAGAUGACCUUGCGGUGCAUUAGUUAGUUGGUGGGGUAACGGCCUACCAAGACGAUGAUGCAUAGCCGACCUGAGAGGGUGAUCGGCCACAUUGGGACUGAGACACGGCCCAAACUCCUACGGGAGGCAGCAGUAGGGAAUCUUCCGCGAUGGGCGAAAGCCUGACGGAGCAAUGCCGCGUGAGUGAAGAAGGCCUUCGGGUCGUAAAACUCUGUUAUAAGAGAAGAACAAAUUGUAGAGUAAUUGCUACAGUCUUGACGGUAUCUUAUCAGAAAGCCACGGCUAACUACGUGCCAGCAGCCGCCGUAA